rnacentral:lncRNA from 1 species
GGAGCAUCGGGAAAUGCCGCCGGGGCGGUCGGAGCCGGCCUCGUGCCGAGCCGGGCCCCGCGGGAGGGAGGGUCCGCGGCACCGGGGAGCCCCGGGGCUGUAAGCCGGCACUGCCGGGAGCAGGAGGAGCCGGGGCACGGGCCGUGCUGAGCGAUUUGUGUCAGGGAGGUGGAGAUUCGGACUUCAUUCUUCUCUUCCCUGAGCCGUCCUCACAUCGAAUUUUGUUUCGGUGUAAUGCAGGUGGAGUUCUUAGUCCGAGGUCACCGCGGGAAGGGUAUGGUACAGCGUGGUUGUGUGCGCUGGUUGGUCCCGUGGCGGUUCAUCAGCUCAGCUCUGCAGAAGGACGUUUUUUUGAGGAUCAAUUCUUUAUCAAGAGGAAGAGAAGUAUAGCUCCUUCUGUCAGUGAGAACCAGGAUGGACUGGUUUUGAAGGAUGAUACAACAGUCUGCUCGUUGCCAUAUUCUGAAAUCCUGCAUGCCUUGUUAAAAACAACCUGUAAUUUUCUAUGCUCACAGGCAGUGUAGAUCUUUAGCUUUGAGCCCUUCCUUGCUUCGCUCUGGCACUGCCUCAUGACAAUCACAGAUGAUCUUCUGUACGGGUUGAAAGAAGGGAUGCAUUAAAUUUUGCAACAGACUGUAAAAUGUUUAUUAAACAGAUGUGUAGCUAUGGAAUUGAAAUGGGAUUGAGAAGUGGAGACAUUUUGUUAGUUGCCAGAGUCAUUGUGUUGUGCCUAACACUGGGUUCAUUUUUGCUGGUACACAGUGUCUCCUGCAGAUUUCUUUUAUGCCACUGGGAGGUUUGUGAGAGGUGUUGGGAUGAAUGGCUAAUCCUGUACUGGGAUCCUGACAAACAAUGAGAUGCUGAAUCCUGGAACUGUGUCUGAAGUGGCCAUAACUCCUGCUGGGGAAGAAUUAGGAGAUCUGUUUGCUUUCUGCAUUAGUUUGGGCUGUUCCUGUUGCUCAGCUUAACACAAGCUGAGUCCCUUCAUCAGAUCUUCACUUGAGUCCUGGGUGUUGAUCUGCGUCCCUAUAGGCCAGCAAAAACCCGUGGUCGAGCUAAGAGCUGAGCAGGUGCCAGUGCUGUUACUGUGCUCGAUGCCUGUGGGUAUAGUGAGCUUGUGGACAGGAGCACUUUGCUGUUCAGAUUCAUUGGGAAUCUUAAUGUCUCAGGAAAAAUCUGAAGAAGCCUUGGUCACCCUUAGCUAAAGUUUAGUAUUACAAACUCCAGAGUCUCAGUAGAGGCUUCUUUUGUUGUCAGUACUCCGUCUUGAAGUGGAAGCAGGAUGUGUGGACAGGGCAAGUGUAAAUGCAGGGCUUCAAGAUUCACUUGUAACGUGUUCUUACAUAGUUAAUUGGUUCUGUUUGGUUGUAUCUGUAUUUGUGGUUUGUGUGGUGCAGUCCUGCAAAAUGAGGAAAGCAGGAGGGGAUGCAGAAAUAGCGAUUAAGGAAUCCAGAGCACUGUGUAGUUGCAAAGCGGCAUGAAGCCUCGGCUCCAUUCACUAUAGGUAGCAUGGUGUGUCCUGCAGCUGUGGGUUGGGACCUGACAGAGUGUUUAGAAAAACUGCACAGCAGUUAUUUGUACUUGGGCAGACAGCAGUUCUUUUUUAAUCUUAGGGGUCUUCAGCAGGUCUGAAAGAAACUCCCGCAGCCAUAUCGUGUCUGUUGUGUUCUGUGGGGACUUGUUUGUCAUGCGUGCUUGAUCUUCAUCCUCAGAUUCACACUUUUCUUCAGAAGGGACUUCCAGAUGACCAGAGCGAUGUUUGAGUUUACUGUUUGGUCAAAAGCACAGGAGGCACUUUGCUGGGUCCUUACCCUUUUUAUAGAUGGGAGUUGGAGCAGUGUAGAGGUAGGUUCCUUUGAGGUCUUCACUGAAGCGUUUAUGCAGAAGCAGCACGGUCCGUCUUGUUUAGCAAUGUCUCAAAGAUGCUGCUGAGCAAAUGUUAUGCUACACCACACUUCAUGCAAGGUCCUAAGCCAUGGAAUCUUGGUUAUUGAGCGUAUGGUUGCUAGCCUGGCUGGCUCGGGGCUGUUUGGAAAACAGUGACUUGCUGUUCUUCAGACUGCACCCAACUAAGCAAGGCAGCAUCUAAGGCACAUUCCAGUCUAAAAUAUGGUCUGAUUGAAGGCAAAAAGAAAUACGAAUCAUGCAGUUAUCCGUGUGACAAAGUUGAGUAUAGCUGACUGCAGCACCUCUCCUACAAAGGAAGGCUAAGAAAGCUGGAGUUAUUUAGCCUGGAGAAGACUCUGGGAAACAUCACUGUUGCCUACCAGUACUUAAAAGGAGGCCUGCAGGAACGUUGGAGAGGGCCUCUUUACCAGAGUGCAUAGCAAUGGGACAAGACGUGACAGUUUUAAACUAAAAGAGGGUAGAUUUAGANACAACCCUUUCUGUAAAGAAGUUUUUUCCUGAUAGAAAGCUGACUUUUAUUGGC